UUUACGUGUCUAAUUAUGAUUCGGUUCAGUCUGAUCUCUGCUAUGGGAAAAAUUCUAGAAUACAACGGGUAUAUUAGUGACGUGGUGUAAUAAACCAAUCAAAUUAAUCCUUUUAAGAAUAUAUGUCCCGUCAUGAUUGUAAAAAAGUAUUUUUAUUGUACUUUUGUUUGAAAAGAAGAAAUGUGAUUGGCUUGUUAUUGAUGACGUGGUGUAAGUGUGACAAUGUAGAAUUCCUCCUACUAUGG
rnacentral:lncRNA from 1 species